GAUAUCUUGAAUACCUGCUCACCUUGGUUACCUCUCAUUUCUUCAUCCCUGGCAAUUUCCCCCCUUCCUCAAAGGUUGUUUAGAGGAUGCAGAACACAUGAAUGUAAAUAUGGGAAAAACAGACACUGUGGACUACUAGAGAAUGGAAGGAGAGAAGCACAUCUCAAUUCGGAUCAACCACAUUUCAAGAGCUCAAUAGCCAUCUGUGGCUAGUGGCUACUGUAUUGCAUGGUGUAGUUCAAGAUCAUUCUCUGAGCAUUCCAGGAACCAGAAAUUCUCAGCCCUAAAACAUGGACCUGCUCCCAGGGCUGGAGUGUCCCACAGUACAUACCAGGCUGUGGGAGUGAGUGCGCAUCCCCAGGCUCAAGGGUUGCCCUGAUGGUGGGUGCCAGUUGAGACGGUGAGGGGCUUUGGAAUGAACUUGGACAAAAGGGCUGGAGUGUCCAUACACAUGAAGAUGUGGCCCAUUGAGGUGUAAAACAGAGUCUGGGUGGGGAGAAAAGUGGGGCAAGCUGAGCUUUGUGUUUCUGUGUUUGGGGUGGAGGAGGGAGAGAUAGAUGAUAGAUAGAUAGAUAGAUAGAUAGAUAGAUAGAUAGAUAGAUAGAUAGAUAGAUAGAUGAUAGAUAGAUAGAUAGAUAGAUAGAUAGAUAGAUAGAUAGAUA
rnacentral:lncRNA from 13 species